GUGCCUACGGGACGCAGCAGUAGGGAAUCUUCCACAAUGGGCGAAAGCCUGAUGGAGCAACGCCGCGUGGGUGAAGAAGGUCUUCGGAUCGUAAAACCCUGUUGUUAGAGAAGAAAGUGCGUGAAAGUAACUGUUCACGUUUCGACGGUAUCUAACCAGAAAGCCACGGCCAACUACGUGCCAGCAGCCGCGGUGAUACGUAGGUGGCAAGCGUUAUCCGGAUUUAUUGGGCGUAAAGGGAACGCAGGCGGUCUCUUAAGUCUGAUGUGAAGGCCUUCGGCUUAACCGGAGUAGUGCAUUGGAAA
rnacentral:rRNA from 1 species